rnacentral:rRNA from 1 species
GAUGAACGCUGGCGGCGUGCCUAAUACAUGCAAGUCGAGCGAACAGAUAAGGAGCUUGCUCCUUUGACGUUAGCGGCGGACGGGUGAGUAACACGUGGGUAACCUACCUAUAAGACUGGAAUAACUCCGGGAAACCGGGGCUAAUGCCGGAUAACAUUUAGAACCGCAUGGUUCUAAAGUGAAAGAUGGUUUUGCUAUCACUUAUAGAUGGACCCGCGCCGUAUUAGCUAGUUGGUAAGGUAACGGCUUACCAAGGCAACGAUACGUAGCCGACCUGAGAGGGUGAUCGGCCACACUGGAACUGAGACACGGUCCAGACUCCUACGGGAGGCAGCAGUAGGGAAUCUUCCGCAAUGGGCGAAAGCCUGACGGAGCAACGCCGCGUGAGUGAUGAAGGUCUUCGGAUCGUAAAACUCUGUUAUUAGGGAAGAACAAAUGUGUAAGUAACUGUGCACGUCUUGACGGUACCUAAUCAGAAAGCCACGGCUAACUUCGUG